rnacentral:rRNA from 1 species
UGCCAGCANHMGCGGUUACACGGUCACUUUAAGUUUAACGUUUAGGUUAUGUGGUUAGAUUAAGUUAUGGAAAAGACAAUUAGAGGAAGUUGCGGUGCAAUGUUGUUUCUUUAAUUUUUUCAUUUUUUCUUUAGAAUUAGUUGAUGCCAUGAAAAUCGAUUGUAGGACUAGGAUUAGAUACCCUAUUACUAUCGAUUGUAAAUUUGUUAUACCAGGGAAUUACGAACUGUUUGUUUAAAACCUAAAGAACUUGGCGGCCUUUUAUAGUUCCAGGGGAGCUUGUCCUGUAAGCGAUAAUCCCCGUUAAUUUUUGCCUUUUUUUGAAUAAUCAGCUUGUAUACCUCCGUCGUCAGUUAACCUUAGUAGAAGUAUAAAAGUUAGCGAGAAUUGGGUUUUAAGCCUAGACGUCAGGUCAAGGUGCAGCUAAUAAGAAGGAAGAGAUGAGCUACGUUACUAAUAUGUAUGGUGUAAGUUAUUGGAUUUUUUGUUGAAAAAUGAGAAUGAAAUAGUACUUGGAAGUAAAGCGGGUUUAAUAAGCCGGUAAUUGAAUAAUACCUAGAAGGUGCACAAAUCGCCCGUCGGUCCCGUCGUUUUAGAUGGGAAAAGUCGUAACAHAGUA